rnacentral:tRNA from 1 species
GGAGGGAUAGCAAAGCCUGGCCAAAUGCGAUAGACUCAAGAUCUAUUCUCUUAGGAGUUCGGGGGUUCAAAUCCCUCUCCCUCCA